AAGUCGUAACAAGGUUUCCGUAGGUGAACCUGCGGAAGGAUCAUUAUUGAGUUAUAAAAUUAAUAUGCUUUGCAUUUUUAAUUUUUAAAUCUCUUUACCCUUUUGUUAACCAUUCUUAGUUGCUUUGGUAGAUUGUUAUACAACUACCAGAGAAAUCUUAAUAAACACUUUGUUAUCCAAUAAUUAAGGAACCUUUUGUCUGAUUUUAUUACUUAAUGUAUAAAACUUUUAACAACGGAUCUCUUGGUUCUG
rnacentral:misc_RNA from 1 species